rnacentral:tRNA from 1 species
GCUGGCACAAUGGUUAAGCAUUCGGCUGCUAACCAAAAAGUUGGUGGUUCAAAUCCACCCAGUG